GACGAACCGUGCGAACGUUGUUCGGAAUCACUGGGCUUAAAGGGCGCGUAGGCGGCUUGCAAAGUCGGUGGUGAAAUCCUGCAGCUUAACUGUAGAAGUGCCUCCGAUACUAGCAAGCUCGAGGGAGGUAGGGGUCUGUGGAACUUCUGGUGGAGCGGUGAAAUGCGUUGAUAUCAGAAGGAACGCCGGUGGCGAAAGCGACGGACUGGACCUCUUCUGACGCUGAGGCGCGAAAGCUAGGGGAGCAAACGGG
rnacentral:rRNA from 1 species